AGCGAACGCUGGCGGCAGGCCUAACACAUGCAAGUCGAACGAACCUUUCGGGGUUAGUGGCGGACGGGUGAGUAACACGUGGGAACGUGCCUUUAGGUUCGGAAUAACUCAGGGAAACUUGUGCUAAUACCGAAUGUGCCCUUCGGGGGAAAGAUUUAUCGCCUUUAGAGCGGCCCGCGUCUGAUUAGCUAGUUGGUUGAGGUAAUGGCUCACCAAGGCGACGAUCAGUAGCUGGUCUGAGAGGAUGAUCAGCCACAUUGGGACUGAGACACGGCCCAAACUCCUACGGGAGGCAGCAGUGGGGAAUCUUGCGCAAUGGGCGAAAGCCUGACGCAGCCAUGCCGCGUGAAUGAUGAAGGUCCUAGGAUUGUAAAAUUCUUUCACCGGGGACGAUAAUGACGGUACCCGGAGAAGAAGCCCCGGCUAACUUCGUG
rnacentral:rRNA from 1 species